rnacentral:rRNA from 1 species
GACGAACGCUGGCGGCGUGCUUAACACAUGCAAGUCGAACGGAAAGGCCUCUUUCGGGGGGUACUCGAGUGGCGAACGGGUGAGUAACACGUGAGUAACCUGCCCUUGACUUUGGGAUAACUUCAGUAAACUGGGGCUAAUACCGGAUAGGAGCUCCUGCUGCAUGGUGGGGGUUGGAAAGUUUCGGCGGUUGGGGAUGGACUCGCGGCUUAUCAGCUUGUUGGUGGGGUAGUGGCUUACCAAGGCUUUGACGGGUAGCCGGCCUGAGAGGGUGACCGGCCACAUUGGGACUGAGAUACGGCCCAAACUCCUACGGGAGGCAGCAGUGGGGAAUAUUGCACAAUGGGUGGAAGCCUGAUGCAGCAACGCCGUGUGCGGGAUGACGGCCUUCGGGUUGUAAACCGCUUUCGCUCAUGACGAAGCUUUGUGUGACGGUAGUGGGUAAAGAAGCACCGGCUAACUACGUG